UUUGAGGAAUUUGGGGGAACCCAACUCAAGUAAAAUUUAAGACCAUUCGAGUAGAAGGAGCUUGUGCAAAUGGUUAUGAAGGAAGUGCAUUAGAGUUGUCAUGUGAAGGAAGCUCAAUUUCUGCUAUUAAAUUUGCCAGUCUCUGUAAUCCUCAAGUUGGUUAUGGCUCUUUUGAGAAAGGAUCUUAUGACAUUGAUGCUCAACACAUCCUCACUAAGGCUUGUGUUGGUCAAGAGACUAGUUUAGUGGAUAUUUCUGAGAAGACAUUUGGUGCGGCUUUGAAUUGUGAAGAUAAAAUCAAGAGACUUGCUGUGGAGAUUGCUUGUUAAUAAUUUAUGUAAUGAGUUUUUACAUAUAGGAGUUUUUUUAUACAAAUAAUUAAUAGCAUCAGGUAGAUAUACUUCUUCGUAAUAAUGGUUAGUUAGCAGUAAUUCAGAAUUAUAUUUUACUUUUAGCAUAAAUACAAGGAAUAAAUUGAGAAAGUUUCGCUUUU